AUAAAUGAAAUGCACAGGUUGAAUAAUUAAUACUAGCAUUCAAUUAUUUAAUUUACUAAAAUUAUAUGUUAAGUUUUUUUAGUUGCUAUUUUUAAGUUGCAUUUAAGUUGUUAGCUUGUCAUUUCUGGUCUUUGAAAUUUUUUUUCUUUUCAAUUUAUUUAUUUUGAUUUUAUAUAUUGGAAUUAUUUUGUAACCUUUUUAUGUUUUAACUGAUCCAUGUGUCUCUUUGUCUUACAGGUAAAAAUCCUUUGUGAAGUCACCAGAUAUGGAUGGGUGAAUACUGCAUCUAAAGUUAAAAUUGCUUGGAAAUAAGAUUAGAAAUGCCUUUCUCUUGCAAAGUGUGUCAGUACUCUGUAAAGUCUAUUCCAGAAUUUGUAAGACAUGCUAAGGAACACAGGAAUCUUGCAAACUAUAGAUUCUCUUGUGGAUUUUUCCAGUGUCCAUGUAACUUCAAAACUGCCGUUGGCCUUCGUACACAUAUGUAUCGUAACCAUGCAGUGAUUACACCAAGUGCUGACAAAUCACACAGUGGUGUAAAUAUGAGAUGCCAGGUUAUGCAAUGUUCUUUCACUUCCACAUCUGGGGAUGCAUUGUGAGACGAAUAUCUCUGUGUAGGUCUAUGCAGUGUUGAAUGUUUUUCAUUUCUUUCAGUGUGUAUGUUGUUCGACAUUGCAGCGGGCUGAUGAGUUAAUAAAGAGGUAAGUCAUUUUCAAGUCUGUUUAUCACAUUGAUGUCUGUCAAGCUUUAGUGCAACUUAGUUUUUGUGUUUUGUUCUCUAUAGGCAGCAAAAACCUGGGAUCUGCAUUGGCCCUGUCAAGUCUGGAGAGUGUUUUUACCGUUUAAUGAAUUAAAUUGUAAUAAAAGUUUUUAAAUGGACUUCUGAGUGUUGUCAUAAUUUAUAAGCCUUUAUAUUUCAUUAUUUUUUAAGCAUGUAACAGAUUGUAGUUAGUUAUAUGUUGUGUAUAUAUGCGUAUAUGUGAAUAUAAAAACUACCGUAAUCAAUUAUAUUGCAUAGUAACUUUACAGUAUUUUAAAAUACAGUGCA